GGAGUGGUGUCCGAGUGGUCGAAGGAGCACGAUUGGGAAUCGUGUAAGGGGCAACUCUUCGUGGGUUCGAAUCCCACCCGCUCCGCCA
rnacentral:tRNA from 1 species